rnacentral:misc_RNA from 1 species
GGAAAUUAUUAAAAUUUUGAUAAAAGUUUAUUUAAUUAUUUAAAAUUUAAACCAAUUUUGUAUUUAGCAAAAAUAAUAUUCGUUUUUUAACAAACAUUUUAUCCUUACAACCAAAGAUUAUAGAUAGGGAUUGUAGGGGAAAAGGGGAAGAAUUCUACUAAUUAGCUUUCUAUAUCUCAGACUAUAUAGCGCAGACUGGAAAAUCAUCUCGGCAUCCCUAUAUUAGUGCUCCAAUUUCUGUGUCAAAACUCUCAUACCUCUUGUGAACAAGUGCAGCCAAAGAACCAUCCUUCAUGUCACGGCAAGAGAAUUCAUUUAGUAUCAACAUCAAGAAAAGAAGAUGAAGAUUAAAAAUCUGACCUCAAUCAGAUUAGCAGCAUUUCUAGGUCCGCAAGCCAGGGUAUCCAUUCCAGCAAUAUGAGCAAUAAAUAGGUCCUCAACAUCAAUACUCUCUCUUCGCCUAUAAGCAUUAUGAAAUCAUAAGAUUGUAAACACACCUCCAUUGCUUUCUUGAGCUGCAGUAUAUGCGAAAACACCAACCUCAGAACUAUUAGCAGCACUAUGCAUAAAUCGAGGAUGGACAAACAACUGAGCCGUACCCCACAAAGGACGGAUUUUGGUUCCCUGUGUGGUCACAAAAUUGAGGUGCUUAAAAGGGCAUAGGAUUU